GACGUAGGGUGCGAGCGUUGUCCGGAUUUAUUGGGCGUAAAGAGCUCGUAGGCGGCUCGUCGCGUCGACCGUGAAAACCCGCGGCUUAACUGCGGGCUUGCGGUUGAUACGGGCGGGCUAGAGUUCGGUAGGGGAGACUGGAAUUCCUGGUGUAGCGGUGAAAUGCGUAGAUAUCUGGAGGAAUACCGGUGGCGAAGGCGGCAUCCUGGACCGACAUUGACGCUGAGGAGCGAAAGCUAGGGGAGCAAACGGG
rnacentral:rRNA from 1 species